rnacentral:rRNA from 1 species
GUGGGGAAUAUUGGACAAUGGGCGCAAGCCUGAUCCAGCCAUGCCGCGUGUGUGAAGAAGGCCUUCGGGUUGUAAAGCACUUUCAGCUGGGGAGGAAGGGCNGUNNGUUAAUACCUUGUUGNUUUGACGUUACCCACAGAAUAAGCACCGGCUAACUCCGUGCCAGCAGCCGCGGUAAUACGGAGGGUGCAAGCGUUAAUCGGAAUUACUGGGCGUAAAGCGCGCGUAGGUGGUUCNUUAAGUCGGAUGUGAAAUCCCCGGGCUCAACCUGGGAACUGCAUUNGAAACUGAGCAAGCUAGAGUNUGGUAGAGGGGGGUGGAAUUCCCGGUGUAGCGGUGAAAUGCGUAGAGAUCGGGAGGAACACCGGUGGCGAAGGCGGCCACCUGGACCU